rnacentral:lncRNA from 1 species
ACAAUAAUAACAUAAAUAAAAAAAAAUUAAAUGAAGAUUGUAAUGUUAUAAAUGAAAGAAAAAGGUAUGAAAAUUUUAUAAACAAUGUAAAAAACAGUUUAAAUAUGUGUGCACAACAAAAUCAAAUUAAUGGAAAUACAUCCGAAAAAAAAACAUCUUUACAAUAUUUUAAUAUGAGUGCUAACAGUGUUACAAAUAGUAGUAUUAUAACAAAUACUUUAACACAAAAUAAACAACUUAAAGAAUACCAAAAUGAAAACGUAAAUAGAAUACAGGCACAUGAUGACUGCAAUAAUAUGAAAGUAAGUGCAAGUAUGAUGAAUAUUGGUGAUAACACGUUGAUUAAUAAAAACCAUAUUAAUAAUAAUUUGAUUCAAAAAAAAGAAAACCAAUCACAUUAUAUAAACAUAAAAAUUAACAAUAGAUUUGAUACGAGUACAUGUCUUGAUGAAUCCAACACUUUUAUUAAUAGUGAAGAUAAAACAAAAUUAAAAAAAAAAAAUAACUCAAAAUGUACUAAAAUAAUAAAACAGACAGCAGGCAGCAGUAGUAGUAGUAAUAGUAGUAGAAAUAGUAGUAGUAAUAAUAGUAGCAAAAUUAAUAACAAUGGUAAUGGCAGCGAAAAUGGAAGUGGCAGCGGAAAUGGAAGUGGCAGUGGAAAUGGAAGUGGCAAUGGAAAUGGAAGUGGCAGCGGAAAUGGAAGUGGCAGCGAAAAUGGAAGUGGCAGUAGGAAAGGCAGUGACAGUAGGAAAGGCAGUGGUAGUAGGAAAGGCAGUGGUAGUAGGAAAGGCAGUGGUAGUAGGAAAUGUAGUGUAAAUGACAAAAUGAUCUACAAUUAUGAUAAUAUAACAUAUGAAACAAAAUGUCGAAAUCGUAGUAAUAAUAAUAAUAACAUUUUAAAAAAUACAAUUAAUGAUGAACGUAAGGACACAUACAAUAAAUUAUUUAAACCUAUGACAACACAAUUUUCAAACAAGGUUUAUUAUGAUGACAAUUUAAUUACUUGUUAUAAUGAUGGUAGAGGUAAUGGUAACAAUUAUGAAAUUAAUAAUGAAAUUAGUAAUAAAAUUAGUAAUGAAAUUAGUAAUAAACAUAAUGGAGAAUAUAAUAAUACAAAUGAUGUGUUUAAAAAAAUGCUGUCUGAUAAAAACGACAACAUUACGUUUGAAAAUUAUUUAGAAGCGCAUAAUUUGGAUCCAAUUGUUAAAAAAAGAAAGGGAAGAAAACCAAAAAAAAGUACGUUAAAAAUUGAAUUGCCUGAUUAUACAAAAAAUAAUAAUAAUAACAGUAAUAAUGAUAAUAGUAACAAUAGUAAUAAUGACAGUAGUAGCAUAGUUGAUAACAGUAACAACAGUAAUGUUUUACUCAUAACUAACAAAACGUAUGAAAGUAAUAUUAUACCAAAUGAAGCAUUAGAUAUUAAUUUAACGACCGAAAAUGACAAAAAGACAGUGAUUAGAAAAGUACGCGAGUUAGCAAUAGGUGAAGGAAAAAUACAAACAGGUGCUUACAAUGAAAACGGCGAAAAAGUAUCCGGCGUGUGGUAUGAUACAAACAGAAGACUAUGGAGAGUGAUGUAUAUGGAAAACGACAAAAGAAAGACCAGGGGGUUUUCGCCACGCAUUUAUGGCUUUAAUGCUGCAAGAGAUUUAGCAGUACAACUGAAGUAUGAAAUGAAUAAAAAAAGUAAAAAGUGACACCAUUUAUAUAUAUAAUACAUACAUACAUACAUACAUACAUACAUACGUACGUACGUACAUAUAUAUAUAUAUAUAUAUAUAUAUACACUUAAGUACCUAUGCAUAUGUCCAACAUACCUGUUUUAUAUUUUUUACUCAUAUUUGACUAUUGCUUUUUUUUAUACAAUCAUAUUUGAUACGACCUUAUUUUUUACAUUCGUUUUAUUUUGAAAAUAUUUAAUUUUCGUAUAUAGUAAUAAUAUAUAUAUAUAUAUAUAUAUAUUUUUUUUUACGAUUUUAUUUGAUCUCCCAUUUAAUCCCCCAUUUGAUCUUGUAUUUGUAUUUUUAAAUUCUACGUAAUGUUUUAUGCAUUCCAUUUUUCAUUUUCCAUUUUUCCAUUUUCCAUUUUCCAUUUUCCAUUUUUUAUUUUCCAUUUUAUACCUUUUACAUUUUUUUCUUUGAUGAUUGAUUAUCCUUUAUUUUUAUGUUUGCUUCCUAAGCGCAUAAAUAAACAUUUUUGCAUUUUUUUUCGUUGGUAUUUC